rnacentral:rRNA from 1 species
CACGUAGGAGGCAAACGUUAUCCGGAUUUACUGGGCGUAAAGCGCGUGUAGGUGGUUCUGUAAGUAGGGCGUGAAAGCUCCCGGCUCAACUGGGAGAGGCCGUUCUAAACUGCAGAGCUAGAGGAUGGUAGAGGGAGGUGGAAUUCCAUGUGUAGCGGUGGAAUGCGCAGAUAUCUGGAGGAACACCAGUGGCGAAGGCGGCCUCCUGGACCAUUCCUGACACUCAGACGCGAAAGCUAGGGUAGCAAACGGGAUUAGAUACCCCGGUAGU